UCCUGUUGCUCAGUCAGUAGAGCGUUUAGCUAGCAACGCAAAGGUCCUGAGGUCAAACCCCAGAAACGGCAC